UUUAACAGGCAGCUGCAGUAGCUCAGUGAGGGGAAAUAGGGAUGGUUAUUUUUCACUGACUGGCUGGCAGUGCCCGAGGAUGAAUGCUAACUCCUACACCUCUCUGCCCUUCCCUGGGGAAGGAUAAAAAGGGUUUUGUUUCUCCUUUGACGUUCACCAUGGCAAACAAAGCUCGGCAGAAUGAGCAAGUGUAAAGACACACAUGAGGUGAUAAUCAUGGAAAUUGUGACUGCCAUGGAAAACCAGGCUGCAGGCUUCCACUGUGAGUGCCAUGGAAAACCAGGAGGCCAAUACUUCAUUAGUCAGCACUGCCCAUGGAAUUCAUAAAGCAUCUCUCUUGCCUGUGUUUGCUGUUUGGAGGAGAUGCUCCAAUGUUUCCCCAGCUGCUGUUGCAGUGUGAAUGACACAGGAAAGGAGGUUGCUCCAGGGAAUCCUCUUGUGAAAUCCAAAGGUCAAAAAUCCAAAUCAAUCCAAAAAUCCAAUCAAAAAUCCAAAAAUCAUAGCUCUUUGCCCUCCUUGUGCCACAGUCCUGGUGUUUUUUCCUCCAGAGUGAAACAUGCUUUUGCUUUAUGAAAUUGGAAGUUGAAGAAACCCUAGAAGAGGCUCAGGAAGUUUGCUGUGGGAUGCUUGUCAGACUUGGAGCAAGCAAGGGAUGAACACCACACUGGGCAAGUUGCUCCAAAUGCUUAAAAUCCCAGAUUUAGCUGGGACAGUGGAAGAAAGAGGUUGAGUCUCUGGCUGUAUUUUUACCCUUUUGUAGAACAGGGCAGAGGGCAGCUAUUCAGAUACCCACGACUCUGGGCGUGGGUUGUAUCCACUGGUAUGAUGAAGAAAGACCUUGUGGUGGGAGCUGCACUUGCCACUUCCCCCCUGCAGCCUUGUGACUUUGAUUAAUCCCAACCCGUGCCACUUUUGGCCGCAGGGAUUAGCUGCUGCUGCAAGCUUCACUGAAAUCCACAGCCUGGCCUAAAAGUCCGUGAGUGUGCAGCUGAGGUGAGGUUACACGUGAGGAGGUGCUGCCUGAUGCUUUUUGUGACCUAAAAAACCAGAACUGUAGACCUUGCACAGAAUCUCAGUGAGCAGGAAAGCAGUGAUCACUGCCUGACUUUUCAGGCUGUUUGUUAAGAUAUUAAACUACAUGAUCUUCCUGUCCUAUUCUUUCUCUCUUUCCUAAGCAUCAGCUCUUAGCUCAUCUAAAGUUUUGAGGCCAGCUUACUUGGGCUUUUAUUUCUGGCCCAAACUCUUCUGUUUUGCACCUUCUUCCCCAAAUAAUAUGUUCUAUUUUGUGCCUUCCUUUUUGCUUUGGAUAAUGAAGGAAGAGAAACCAAGUAUUUCAACAGAGAAGGAAACUGUGUGAAGAAAGUCGGGGGGGUGGCUGCGUUUUCUCAGUCUGGUUCCUUACAGCAGCCUUUGUAGCUGUUCUCUGCCAACUCUUAUUUUUCCUGCAAAAGCUGUAAUUCUUUGUGCUUUUCCUUAAAGCCGUAGCUCCUGGAGUCCUGUGAUUAUCUAAUCACUUCUGAGUGAACAAAAAUGAGUCACAGCAGAUGGAAAACACUGGAUGACAAUAACCUCCACUUCUGAAAAAGCCCUAAGUGCUUCUGAGUGAAAAAAAACCAACUUCCAAGUGUAAUCCUCGAAAACCCAUGAAGCAGAGACCAAAUGAAAGGAGCUCAAUUUUGUAUAUACUUUUUUGUUUUAUAUAUUUGUA